AGCGAACGCUGGCGGCAGGCUUAACACAUGCAAGUCGAACGCCCCGCAAGGGGAGUGGCAGACGGGUGAGUAACACGUGGGAACGUACCCUUUGGUUCGGAAUAACUUGGGGAAACUCAAGCUAAUACCGGAUAAGCCCUUAUGGGGAAAGGUUUACUGCCGAAGGAUCGGCCCGCGUCUGAUUAGCUAGUUGGUGAGGUAACGGCUCACCAAGGCGACGAUCAGUAGCUGGUCUGAGCGGAUGAUCAGCCACACUGGGACUGAGACACGGCCCAGACUCCUACGGGAGGCAGCAGUGGGGAAUAUUGGACAAUGGGGGCAACCCUGAUCCAGCCAUGCCGCGUGAGUGAUGAAGGCCUUAGGGUUGUAAAGCUCUUUUACCCGGGACGAUAAUGACUGUACCGGGAGAAUAAGCCCCAGCUAACUUCGUGCCAGCCGCCGCUGUAA
rnacentral:rRNA from 1 species